AACACAUGCAAGUCGAGGGGCAGCAUGGAUGUAGCAAUACAUCUGAUGGCGACCGGCGCACGGGUGAGUAACGCGUAUCCGACCUGCCUGCCACUCCGGGACAGCCUUUCGAAAGAAAGAUUAAUACCGGAUGCCGCUUGAGGGUUGCAUGACCUUUAAGUGAAAGAUUUAUCGGUGGCGGAUGGGGAUGCGUUCCAUUAGGCAGUUGGCGGGGUAACGGCCCACCAAACCGACGAUGGAUAGGGGUUCUGAGAGGAAGGUCCCCCACAUUGGAACUGAGACACGGUCCAAACUCCUACGGGAGGCAGCAGUGAGGAAUAUUGGUCAAUGGCCGAGAGGCUGAACCAGCCAAGUAGCGUGAAGGAUGACGGCCCUACGGGUUGUAAACUUCUUUUAUAAGGGAAUAACGGCCGCUACGCGUAGCGGUAUGCAUGUACCUUAUGAAUAAGCAUCGGCUAACUCCGUGCCAGCAGCCGCGGUAAUACGGAGGAUGCGAGCGUUAUCCGGAUUUAUUGGGUUUAAAGGGAGCGUAGACGGGACGUUAAGUCAGUUGUGAAAGUUCGGGGCUCAACCUUGGAAUUGCAGUUGAAACUGGCGUUCUUGAGUGCGGCAGAGGGAAGCGGAAUUCGUGGUGUAGCGGUGAAAUGCUUAGAUAU
rnacentral:rRNA from 1 species